rnacentral:rRNA from 1 species
AGGUUUCCGUAGGUGACCUGCGGAAGGAUCAUUGUCGAAAAUUGCCAAUUAGAGCGACCCGCGGACAUGUUGAAAUAAAUCGUCGGGGGCACGGCGCCCUCGGCUGCCGGCCGAGCCGGCACCUUACGGCCUGCUCCAGGAGCGGCAACGGGGGUGCGUGGCAAGGCUCGGCACAAGAACGAACCCCGGCGCGGAUCGCGCCAAGGAACGGUAACAUAGGGUGCGUUGCCUCGCCGCCGGAUGCCCGGCGAGGGAGGUGGCGACCUGUCGUAUCUGAACGACUCUCGGCAACGGAUAUCUCGGCUCUCGCAUCGAUGAAGAACGUAGCGAAAUGCGAUACUUGGUGUGAAUUGCAGAAUCCCGUGAACCAUCGAGUCUUUGAACGCAAGUUGCGCCCGAAGCCUCUAGGCUGAGGGCACGUCUGCCUGGGCGUCACGCAUAGCGUCGCCCCCGACAAAGCCACCGCGUCUCUGCAUGCUAGGUUGGGGCGGAGAGUGGCCUCCCGUGCGCCGUUGUGCGGUUGGCCUAAAAUCGGAGCUCGGCGACUGCGCCACGACGUCCGGUGGUCGACAAGGCGAAGGCCAAGGUUGCAUCGCGUCGCGCUCGGCCCGUCGCCCGUGAUGCUCGCACGACCCCGGCGCGCCGUCCGUACGGCACCAACGCAG